UACGUAGGGUGCGAGCGUUAAUCGGAAUUACUGGGCGUAAAGCGUGCGCAGGCGGUUCGUUAAGUCAGAUGUGAAAGCCCCGGGCUCAACCUGGGAACUGCAUUUGAAACUGGCGGGCUUGAGUAUGGCAGAGGGGGGUGGAAUUCCGCGUGUAGCAGUGAAAUGCGUAGAGAUGCGGAGGAACACCGAUGGCGAAGGCAGCCCCCUGGGCUAGCACUGACGCUCAGGCACGAAAGCGUGGGGAGCAAACAGG
rnacentral:rRNA from 1 species